rnacentral:lncRNA from 1 species
GUGCUUCUUGGAGUUGGAUUUGUUCUUGGCUAGGCUGAGUUCACCCCAAUCCAAAUCUGGGUUCUCCUUCUGCCAGAUCAAACAGUGCAGAAACAAGCCUAAAAAACACUGCAGUGUGAUGCCUGAAUGUGCAAGACAUGAGUUGCUAUGCUGCAGGAUACAGUGGUGAACUGCACUGUCAGAAGGUUUUUGAAGGCUGUCUCUGGAAAAGCCAUAGCCAGAGGAGGUGUGCUGAAUUGGAACUUGAGGAUCUCUGGGAAAUAUAUAUACAGAAUGGAAAAAAUGUCAGAGGAAGAAGAAGAAAACUUUAAAUUUUCAUUAAAUUAUAAUUCUAUAGUAAAGGGAGUAAAAAGUAUAGUAAAAGGAGUAAAAAUUCUGCCCUGGGUUUACUCAUAA